CGUUGUUCUCUUAUAUUUAAUGCGUUUCCCUCAGUUUUAAUUUGUAACCUGGAUUUUGUUUUUUGUUGCACUUUUGUUGUUUCGUUUUUUCCUUUUAUAGUUGAUGUGUUUCCUUCGGUUUUGGUUUGUAGCUUGGAUUUGUUACUCUCAAUCGAUUUAGGACUUUCGAACAGCUGUUAUCUACUUCUGCCUUUAUUUAAGAACAUGCAUUUUCUUAUACAGAAAAUAGUGAGCUAAACUUCUCACUUGCAUAACAGUCACAUGAAUAUCUAUUGUAUUGACAACAAUGUGUGGACAAAACAAAUAGACAUAAUAGGUUAAAAUGUCAUAAAUAAGUGUACAGCAGUCAACAUUGUAUUAAAAUCACUAUAAAAUCAAACAAAUAUGUCACAAAAGAAUAACAAAAUGACAUAUAGGCAAAGCACAUAGCAAAAAACGAAAGACAAGAAUUCAAAAUUUUACCACAGCAUUAUGACACAAUGACGGGAUGUUUAAGUAAAAAGCCACGUCAAAUGGAGUAGACGAAAACCACGUCUGACGUACCAAAUUAAAGCAUCAUCCAUUAAUACCAUUUAACAAGUUUUGCAGAUUUGGAUACUAUUUCUGGCCUUUCUUUGUUCUACAACUAUUUAACUGUUUCGGUCUUGUGCAUCGGUUGUAGGUGUUCCUGAUAAAUGUGUGAUGAUAAAUCUAUAAAAGCACUUCAUACAAAUAAAAUAUAUAAUUUUUUCUUCACUGGAUCGAUUCUACAGCAGUUGGACUAUCAGUCCAUGAGGCUGUCACCAGCAUAGUAGAUUUAAAACAAACCGUUCUAUCAUUGUCCGUUGAUAAAUUUAUAAAUUAUUUAAGAAACAAAGAUUUCCCCUCCCUCAGGCAAGGUUGGCAUACGAUUGAUAUUGUUGUUACUUUAAGAUCACUUUUGGUCAUAUAGCACUUCAAGUGUUUCGGUUCAUAUAAACUCUAGGCAAACACAUAUUCUGUUUUGACACUAUGUUUCUGAAGUUUGUAAAUUCCAAAGAUAAAAAAAUGCAUCGGAUGCAUUCAAUUUAUAAAAUGUUGUUAUUCAUUUUUGUUUACUGAAAAGGGUCGAUUCUGCUGCUAGUUGACUAUCACUCCUCAAGUGUAUCAUCAGCUCAAUAGUCCGCAAAUCGGUACUGUUUUGAUUUUAACAUACCUAUUUGUCUGUUUAUAAUUUUUAAAAACGUGAACCAGUCCACGAAAUACUACACUGAAAUAUAGCAUUAGUAAGACGAACAAAAAUAAAAUUGUUUCAAUGCUGUUGUUCUUGAAGAGUCCGCAGUUCCUCUUCCACUUAUGACUCGCUGAAUCACUCAUGUUCGGUCACAUAAAGACGAAAAGCACAUGUGAAGAACUACUAGUAACAUAAAACCAUUUUUGCAUAUUCUAACAACCAACAUAUGCUUUAUACAUAUACUUUAUUAUUAACAUAUGUACAUUCGUCUGCACCAUAACUUUUAAUGGGUCAAGUGAGAUAUUCUCAUCCCUUUGUGUUCUUUGUUGUCCGUUUUCAAGACAAAAAAUCUCUCUUUUGAAAAAAAUUUAAAUAUAAACAUAAUGGGUUCAGCCUUGUAUCACCAUCACUAGUGAUCCGAUGGAUACAAUCUGUUACAGUCGUAGAGUUGUCACUUGUUCAAACGUACUUAAAACAUAAUGAUUUAUAUGACUGCCUCCUAUAUUAAUUUCUUCGAUCCUCUACGAUAGAUAAUUCAGCUGAUCUGUAUUAUUCCCUCUUCAUGCCAUAUAAAACAUGUACUGUGUUACAAUGCUAGAUAAAAACUGACGAGGAAAGGUAACACCCAGCCGCCAAAAACUUGAUUUUUGUCGAGCCUAGGUGGUCGAGUGGUCUAGCUUGAACUUUUUUCUUUUGAGUAUGAACAACACAACGGAAGCGACGAUUGACUGUUUACCUUUUUUUUAAAGAACCAUAAGAUUUUGGUUGGGUUUGUGAUACUUAAUCUUAAUUUUCAAUAAAGAGUUUUAUGAUCUUGUUUGUCUUUUGUAAUUUUUUAAAAUGUUCCAGUGGUAUUAUCUGCCUCUCGUUUUUGGAGUCCUCGGGAUCAUAUUAUGGAUCUCGAAACAUGUAGUCUGUAGAAGUACAUAAUGUUAAAAUUACAAUGGAGCUCGGGGCUUACCAUUACAUUACACUUGUGAUGUAUCUGAGACAUAUAUCCACCAGAGACCAAAGCAAGUACGGCACAAGUGCAAUUAAUUGCAAGUUCAACGUUCAGGAAACAAUAUUCAGGAAACGGUAAUUGCAUUUUAAUUACAAUUAAUUUUACGUGAAAUUAGUUCCGGUUGAAAAUUAGAACGGAAAGAUCUCUUGAAGUAAUGAAUUUAUGUUCUCGUUAGCAUGUAUGGAGAAGUAUGGAGAGCAGUAAUUUCUAAAGACUUUGUCCACUGAGUUUUGCUUUUUCAUUUGUGUGGUUUUCUUUUUAAUUAUUCUAAGAAAAAGCAACUUAAAAUAUAUAGUCUUGAUCAUCAAAAUAUUUCAAGAAAAUUAAAAUUAUUUCAAUAAAGAAAUUAAAAACAUUUUCGUUUUCGCUUAUCCUCAAAGUUAACUGAUAUAUAAAAGUAUGCUCGGCUAUAAGUUAUGUUGAAAUUAUUUCGCUGUGUGCGUUAAAACAUGCUUUACACAAACAAACAAAAAAUAUUAUCGAACAUUAAUAUCCCGGAUUUCUAAAGGGGUGAUAAAUUCUUCCUAUGUGACGUUUAUAUUUUCUGACGUUAUACACGCGAUACAAUGAAUGUGGUUUUUAAAUUUGAUAGAUGCUUUUUGUGCUUUUUUGUUAAAUAUUUGUUUGUUUUGAGAUUGUGACACAAUGAUGACUGCUUUACCAAUAUUGUGACUAUUUUACCUAUCAUGUCUGUUUUGAUCACACAUCGUUGUAAAUAUAAUUGUAUUUGAAGCGACUGUCAUACAAGUGAGAGGUUUAGCCAGGUUCAAUCCACCAUUUUCUAAAUUUGAAAAUGCCUGAACCAAGUCAUGAAUAUGACAGUUGGUGUCAAUUCGUUUGAUGAGUUUUAUCCUUUGAUUUAGCCAUUUGAUAAGGGACUUUCUGUUUUGAAUUUUCUUCGGAGUUCAGUAUUUUUGGGAUUUUAUUUUUUGCACUUACUAUUUUUUCUUUAUCUGAAUGAUGAUUUUUUGGGUUAACUUUUUGAUUACACGGACGUAUCAGCUUGCACUUUUUUUGUUUGAUAUCAACAUUGAUUGCAACUUUUUCAUUCUUUUAAUCCGAAUUAUAUUUAAGAUUAUCUUUACAAAUACAUGGACUUUGCCGUUGCUUCGUUAUUUUGGAGGGAUACUUUGCUCUGCAUUGCAUAUUGACGAGGAUAUCGUUAUGAUAUAUAUAAUGAUAACAGUCUUUACUCGGGAAAUGAAAUUAUUCGAAUGAGUAUAAUUUAGAUAAGACACGCCAUGUACUCCUUACAUGAAACGAUUUUGAAAUAUGUACUAAACUGUCAACGUACAAAAAAUAAUGUAUCCAUUUAUGAAACUGGAUAUAUAUAUAUAUAUGUAAGUGAUCGAUGAAAUUCAAUAUAUUUUAUUGUGUUUUUUUUUUAAAGUUUGUACCAAAGCGAAGGUCGUGAUUCCCUUAAAGAGUGGUAUUGUGAUUUCCGAACGUUUGUAUUUAUAAGAUUUGAAUUCUCUUCCAUUGUAUUGGCUGAAAUGAGAGUGCGAGACAAAAUGUUAAAAAGUUUAUCAAUUUUGCGAACGUCUUUGACGAGAAAUCAUGUUUCCUCUCCAGACAAUAUUAUAAGUGGAAGAGAUAGUAUAAAAAGAUACAUGUACUUGUGUCAAGUAGUUUUACAUCUAUUGAUGUCAACACUUGAACGACCCAUAAUACAUUUUAAAAAGGCAAUUAAACCUUGCAAAGAUAUAGGAUGCACAUUUAGAUUUAAAUAAUAUUUGUUUACGAAGAUACAAAAAAAUCUUAUAGCAAAUUCAACAUAAAUCUUAAAAUAUCGAAUGGUACAACAGAAGACACAAGGAAAAAUGACCAAAAACAGUUUUUGUCUGAUAUUCCAUUGUUUAUGGUCGAUAAUGCAUCCUGAUUCAUUGAAUCGAAAUAAAAUAUGUUUAUAUAACUGUGUUUUGUUUUCAAACAUAUAUAGUCUUUUAAAUUUUUAAUCUCAUAUACAUACAUUUUCAAAUUUUAGUGAUCAACAAUUUUGAAAAAAACCUUCCAAUACUUUUUUCAUUAGCAACAUUUUCAUUUUGAUAUCCUGAGCGACCAUUAUACUUCAAAAAAUUUCACAAUCGAAAAAGAAAAUGGGCAUUUACCAAUUGUUUUCUUUACACAUGGCUUUAUGAAGUUAGAACGUAUGCUGGUAGACCCGAGCUAGAACUCAGGGCAAAGGUUUCAUAAUCAUAUCGCCUUUGUAUAUCAUGUUUUCGCCUUCAUAUACAUGUGAUAUCUGCCACUGAACGUGUAAAUCCAAUACAUCAAUAUCAGUUUCUUGUAGGACACUUGGCCUGUCAGCGCCCAUGAAUACCAUGUACCUUAUCGCACACUAAAGGGGUAAACAACGUGAGUUUCUAAACAGUCCGUGCAAUCCGUUAAUAUAAAAUGUAAAAUAAAUUUAUAUUGUAUAUUUGCUAAUUAGUAAGACAACAUAAUUCAAAUGAAGCGGACUUUAUAAAUGAACAAACCCGUUACAUAGUCACUAUUUAUUAAAGACCCUGACACAACAAAAAAAGAGAAGAAAUCAUAAUAUUAUAAAUUUCCUGUUUCCAAAGCGCUUUUCUGAAUUUAAUCAUUUUUGCUGGUGCAAAACCCCCUAACAUUAGAUAUUGUUGCAGCAGACUAACAAUACAACACAAGAACAAACAAUGAAAAUAACUUGAAAAGAGCAUAACUUAGCAGAUCGAAACCAAGCAGAAAAGCAACGAAAAUACCGCAAAAAAUGAAGUUUUUAACGACCUUGACUGGCUAUACAGCCUUGGCUAACAGGUUAUUUAUAUAUCCCCAACAACGUAGAGAUUUGAGUCAUUGC
rnacentral:lncRNA from 1 species